CCUACGGGGGGCUGCAGUGGGGAAUAUUGCACAAUGGAGGAAACUCUGAUGCAGCGACGCCGCGUGAGUGAAGAAGGCUUUCGAGUCGUAAAACUCUGUCCUUGGGGACGAUAAUGACGGUACCCAAGGAGGAAGCCCCGGCUAACUACGUGCCAGCAGCCGCGGUAAUACGUAGGGGGCGAGCGUUGUCCGGAAUUAUUGGGCGUAAAGGGUUCGCAGGCGGCCAAAUAAGUCAGAUGUGAAAUCCCACGGCUUAACCGUGGUAAGCAUUUGAAACUGUAUGGCUUGAGUUAAGGAGAGGAAAGUGGAAUUCCUAGUGUAGCGGUGAAAUGCGUAGAUAUUAGGAAGAAUACCAGUGGCGAAGGCGACUUUCUGGACUUAUACUGACGCUGAGGAACGAAAGCGUGGGGAGCAAACAGGAUUAGAUACCCCUGUAGUC
rnacentral:rRNA from 1 species